rnacentral:rRNA from 1 species
UACGUAGGGGGCAAGCGUUGUCCGGAAUUAUUGGGCGUAAAGAGCUCGUAGGCGGUCUGUCGCGUCUGCUGUGAAAACUCGGGGCUUAACCCCGGGCCUGCAGUGGGUACGGGCAGACUAGAGUGCGGUAGGGGAGACUGGAAUUCCUGGUGUAGCGGUGAAAUGCGCAGAUAUCAGGAAGAACACCAAUGGCGAAGGCAGCUCUCUGGGACGGUACUGACGCUGAGACGCGAAAGCGUGGGGAGCGAACAGG